AUACGGUGGGUGCAAGCGUUAUUCGGAAUCACUGGGCGUAAAGGACGCGUAGGCGGGUUGGCAAGUCAGAUGUGAAAUCCUACAGCUUAACUGUAGAACUGCAUUUGAAACUGCUAACCUAGAGUAUGGGAGGGGGAGAUGGAAUUAGUGGUGUAGGGGUAAAAUCCGUAGAUAUCACUAGGAAUACCGAAAGCGAAGGCGAUCUCCUGGAACAUAACUGACGCUAAGGCGUGAAAGCGUGGGGAGCAAACAGGAUUAGAAACCCUAGUAGUCC
rnacentral:rRNA from 1 species